GGCACACCUGGGUCCACGGCACACCUCAUACGGUCCUGCCUGCCCUCCUCACAUGGUUCCUGGGCAGAGCACAGAACCUGUCCAUGGGGUCAGGGGUUGAGGAACCUGACUCUGGUCCUGCGGGCCCAGGAGGGUCCAUUGUGACAGGGCUUACAGCACUCAUGACGUUACCAUUGCCAAGCACCCCUCCUCCAUGUUCUAGAACAGUCAGGACACUGGCCCUGUUUUCUUAGCAGGAGCUAAGGUAGAGGUGGGCAGACUGGGACUCUCUUCCGGCCCUGCUGACAUGGACACGCGCCGCUUGGCCAUGGAGGCCCUGAAAUCCCUGUUGGUAAAGGAGCGAGCAGCAAUCAUUGCCAACUAUGAGCAGGUUUGCAGAGAAGGGGAGCAGCUGGAGCCUCAGCAAGAGGAGUACUUGGCCACCCAACCAUCCCCAUGUCUGCUGGGGAUCCAGCGAGUCGCUGGUAAUCACCUCAUCUCCGGCGAUGUGUCGCUUAGGGAAGCACCUCUUUUGGAGCAUCACCUGCAUCCCCAGGCUCAGAACCUGUUCCAGGCCUCCGUCACAGUCCAGGCCCUGGCGGGCACUGGGCCAGAGCUGGGGCCCCAUGUACAUUAGGGAGGGCACUUGGGCUGCUGUCCAGCAAGUCUCUUAGAGAUCAGGAUUUCAGGUACUGCUGUCCUGCGGAAGGGCCAAGGGGAGCAGGUAGUGGUGCCCUAGUGUGUUUAGGGCCGGCGUGAAGACUCAUCUGGAAGGGACUCAGCCAGGGAGGGUUUGCAAGCUGGAAGGACCUGCCCCUGGCCCUGGUGCUGGGAGGAGAGCUGAGGACUUGGGUGGAGGAGAGGACCCAGGCUUUAGAUCUAUUCCCACAUUUGUCCCAGGGCAGGAGAGUCCAGGGAGCAGAGGAGGCAGCAAGGAGGCAUCAGAGGGCUGGCAGCAGCUUCUACCUGCCACCUUUUCUGUCUGGCAUUAGGGAGCUGGACUCAGGUCAUAACACCUCUCUGCACUCUCCCACCGCUCUCAGAGGGUGGGGCUGUCCCUGGGAGCAGGUCUUGGGAAAGAAUAAUCCAAGGAGAACAUACUCAGAGCCCUGCUGGUCACCCCACUGUCCUCAGUGGGGCAGGUGCUUUUCUGCAGGGGUAGAGGUGAGGCCUGGAAAAGGGAGUUGCUCUCACUUCAAGGCGGGGCCUCAGCCACCAUAGCGGGGCAUCUGGAGGCCUGGUAUGAGUCUGUUUGCUGAGGGGUGCAGUGGACAGGGGAGGGGAAGGGCCUUGGAGGAGCCCAGGCACCUGAGCGUCAGCAGUGGGUGGUCCUUGGGGUCCCCUCUCCAGGGCUGCUGGGCACAGCAGGUGCCCAGGCCCCUGAGCUCACACCAGGGACCCUCCCUGAGCGUCCUGCAGGAAGAAUUCCCCUUCUGCAGGAAAUGCUUAGUGAUUUUGGUGACAUCUGGGGAGCCAGAGGGGGUCCUGUGUCCGGAGGUGACACCUCCCCCCGUUCCCACCUUACAGCAGAUUAAGGUGCAGGGCAGGUUGCUGUCGGAGGUGGUCCAGCAGAUCAACGUGGACAUCAAAAGAACAUUUAGAACAUUUGGAACAUCAUGUUCCAAAAGCGCUAUGGAGUCAAGUGAGUCCUCUGGACCUGCAAGGGAAGAGAGAGGUCCCUGGGAAGAUGGGGGGAGUCCCAGGAGAGACCCAGAGUCCUGGGAGAGUCGUGAGAUCCCAAGAGGGUUGAGAACCCGGUGACACAAGUGCCAGAAGGUGCGGGAGGCCCUUUCAGCUCCUGGGUCAGUCAGCACGGAGCACCUGGGUAGACCUGGAGCAGGGACAUAGUGAAAUUACUUAAGGAUGAAGAAGUCUCAGGUGUUUAAAAAAAUGCAAGCCAAGAUAUAACAUGUAACACAUAGCUGGCCAUGGGAAGAGAAACAGGAUGGAAGUGGGAGAGUUGAAGUAGGCUAUUGAUAAGGGGCCCCUGAAUUACAGCUAUGGUGGUAAAAGAAGGAAAGCCCAACCCUGAGCUGGGGGGGGGGGCGGUACUGGGAUGGUCUAGAUAGACUGGGUGAGCCUUGUGCCAUUAACAGCUCCCUGGAAGGCAGAAUCUGGAGGUCAGGGGAGUGCAAAGGGCAUCUUGGGUGGGAAUAUGAUGAGGGCAUGGGCACAAGGCAGCAGGGCCCUAUGGUGCUAUGAUUGGAUGGGCAGGGCUAUAUGCAGGUUGGUAGUUAGCAUAACACCAAGAACAAGGCCACAGGAGGGCAUGGACUCAUGGAGGCUGUGGCUUUGAGGGGCCAGAGCCAUGGUGUGGCCAGGACUAGAGCAGAUCAACCAUGGAGUAAAUGAAGUCAGAGAGACCAAACGGACACCAUGGUUCACAAUAGUCACAUAUACCUAACAGCAUAGCCAAAGAGCAUAUGGUAUCUGGUUCUCUACAUGUGUCUUGGUUUGCAUCUAAUGAGUUGGGAUCCAUUUUUCUUAUGCAAGUCCAGAAUAUGCUCAUCACACCUGCAAUGCGGCUGCAGUCAAUACCCAGUCAGUGUCCACAUACCCCCACUGCCUUACCAUCUCUGAAUGGUGUUUCUGAUCAGAAGUUUGGGUUUUAUGUAGUGACUGGGGAUGGGGCAAAGCCACUCACUGUUAGGGACUCUUCGAGGGACAUGACUCCCAGGUUGGAGUGAACAGACACGGCUCUGUAUGAAGACUGCAGCUGGUUGCUUGACCCGAGGCUGGAGACACAGGGAUCUGCUCUUCAAUGGCCCUCGCCUAGGGAAGAUUGCUCAAGAAGAGAGAGGAGGAGGAGAAGAGGGGCUGGCCCAGGCUAACAUGGAGGGGAGCCUAGACUGGCAGGGAUAGUGUCUUCUGGGAGAGCCACUGGUCUCCACCACUAGGGUCCUGACCCAUUUCCUCUACAAGAUGUCAGUGUCACUUCAGUGAGAGGGGCUCUCAGCCAGCCUGAUCCCAGGUAACCUCAUGGUGACUUUGACUCACGGAGUGUGUGGCAGUGACACUGCUGACUGCUGACCUCUGAGGCCCAGUGCUGAGCCUGCUCAGCUUCCUGAUGUGAGAGCCUACACCCGCCAGGCCAAAUGUCCAGCAACUGCCAGCUGCCCAGCUGCAGAGUAACAGGGAAAGAAGCCCAGGAGCCCAGGGUUCCUCGCAGGUUACACAUGUGUGUGAUGGCCUUCCUGGGACCGUAGUCUGAUGGCCUUCCCAGCUGUCCUUGCCACACCCUGUGCAGUCUGUAUCUCUGUGAGUUUUAAACUCAGCAGCAUUGCCUGUCAAGGGCUGGGAGGCGAGGAGCUCUGAACGUGGGCCCUGGGGAUGCAGGGAUCCCCAUUCAAGCCACUGUGGUGCUCUAGAGCAGCACCACUCAGUCUGCAAUGGACAACAGGGCCCUGGCUGCUUCCAGUGGGCCUGUGCUUACACAGCCGGCUCCCAGGGUGCAGAUGUCACUGCAAACCUCUAGUGGUUGACGGGGGGCGGUUGCCUCCUUGUGCAGUGUCGGGCGACCAGGAGCCCAGCACGGGAUAGGGCCCUGAAAGCUGAGGCAGGAGUGUGGGCCUCUCAAGUCAGAGAGGACGACAGAGAAGCACCUGUUGGGUUGACCACUGUGGAGGUUUGCACUUGACUUGAAACUCGACAGCAGUUUUCUGUGGUAUGACUGGGAUCAACGUCCCAAAUGGUGUGAACACUAAGGACUUAGGACUUUGAAUCUCACGAGACCUGAAAUAGAGACCAAGCAGGAGUCAUCCAGGAAUGUAAGAGUGGACCCACAUGUACAGAUCCACCCAGCUACUAGUUCUCCAUUGUAAAACAACCGCAAGGGGAGCACCUGUCAGGAGAUGCUGGAAUUAGCCUUUGACACAGUCCAUGACCUGCUCAUGACAAAGACCCCCAGUGAACAGGGAAUAGGUGUGAACACACACUCAUCCUAGGCAAGGGGAUUUGUGAACCCACCACUGCCGCUUUGUGCUGAGACUGAACGCUUUCUCCUAAAUCUGGAGUGGAAGAUGAAUGUUCCCUCCCCACAUUGUACUGCAAGUCCCACCAGGGAACAAGAACAGAGAAAGACAAAAUGUGGACAGUUCUGAAGAAAAAACAAAACUGUCUUUAUUCACAGAUGACAUGAUCUAAUUUACAAUGAGCAGAAACCAAGCUCUACACAUUCCCUCUGUAAAAACUAUACAAAGGGGCCGGCGCUGUUACAUAGCGGGUAAAGCAACCGCCUGUAGUGCUGGCAUCGCAUCUGGGCAUCGGUUCGAGUCCCAGCUGCUCCACUUCUGAUCCAGCUCUCUGCUAUAGCCUGGGCCCAAGUGCUUGGUCCCUGUACCCAUGUAGGAGACCUGGAAGAAGCUCCUGGCUCCUGGCUUGGGAUUGGUGCAGCUCCAGCUGUUGCGGCCAUCUGGGGAGGACUCUCUCUCUCUCUCUCUCUCUCUCUGCCUCUGCCUCUCUGUAACUCUGCCUUUCAAGCAAAUAGAUACAUCUUUAAAAAAGAAAACUACACAAAUUCAAAAUGGAUCACAAAUCUAACUCAAUGUAUAACACUUCUAGAAGAAAACAGAGUAAAUAACCUGCUUUGAAUUGGUGAUGGGAUUUGGAUGAAGACCCAAAGCACAGAAAAUGAAUGAAACCAAUUGAUCAGAGGAAUUUUAUUUAAACACUUCCACUCUAUAAAAGACACUGUGAAGAUUAUGAAAUGAAAAGCUACAGGCUGGCACCACGGCUCAAUAGGCUAAUCCUCUGCCUUGCAGCGCCAGCACACCGGGUUCUAGUCCCGGUCGGGGUGCCACAUUCUGUCCCAGUUGCCCCUCUUCCAGGCCAGCUCUCUGCUGUGGCCUGGGAAGGCAGUGGAGGAUGGCCCAAGUGCUUGGGCCCUGCACCCGCAUGGGAGACCAGGAUAAGUACCUGGCUCCUGGCUUUGGAUCAGCGCAGUGUGCUGGCUGCAGCACACCGGCUGCAGUGGCCAUUGUGGGGUGAACCAACGGCAAAAGGAAGACCUUUCUCUCUGUCUCUCUCACUGUCCACUCUGCCUGUCAAAGAAAAAGAAAAAGAAAAAGAAAGAAAGAAAGAAAGAAAGAAAGAAAGAAAGAAAGAAAGAAAAGCUACAGAGCACUAGAUAAUGUUUGCACACAUACAUCUAAUAAAGGACUUGAAUCCAGAAUAUAUAAAGAACUCUUAACUCUCAAUAAAAACGCUUUAUUUAGACUCCCUGCUCAUUGCAAAUGGACACCAAACCAUCAAAGAACAGACACUUCAUCAAAUACACACACGAAAAGGUAGCCACCAUGGAGACGUGAAGACCACAGUGAGAUGCCAUGGCUCGUCUGAGUGGUUAAACCCAAAACACUGACAACACUGGGCUAACAGCGAGGGGCAGGGGGAUCUCUCACUCAUGGCUGGGUGGGAAUGCAGAAUGGGCGGCCCCUUUGCAAGAGGGUGUGGCUGUUUCUUCUAAGGCCCAACAUCCAACCACCAUCCGACCCUGACAUGUGUGUAGUUAUUACCCAACCACUGUGGAAUCUUAACUCCACAAAAAUCCUGCAGGCGAGGUUCCCUGUUUCAUCCAUAGUCAGAACAAACUGGAAGUGACCUCAAUGAGCUCAGCAGGGGAACUGAAACAGGCGUGGGUGAGAAGGAGGAAGACGCCACUGAAGUACACCAUGGAAGAAGCCAGACCCGAAAGCCGCCAUGCUGGGACUCCAGUCAUAGGGCAUUCUGGGAAAAGCCAGACCCGAAAGCCGCCAUGCUGGGACUCCAGUCAUAGGGCAUUCUGGGAAAAGCCAGACCCGAAAGCCGCCAUGCUGGGACUCCAGUCAUAGGGCAUUCUGGGAAAAGCCAAGCCAUGGGGACAGAAGAGAAAGCAAUGGUUACCAGGGGCUGUGGGGGAGUGGGAGAGUGUGACUCCUGAGGGGACACAAGGAGGAAGGAGCUGCUCCUGGAGCUGCUGGGCUGGGGCUGGGAGACUCCACAUGGGCCAAAGGCCUGGACUGAGCCUCUCACAGAGCACAUGUCCCUGUGUGCAAACCUCGAAAACACCCACUGGACUGAAAACGGGAAGGCAUGAGCUACCCCCAGGUGACCCUUGUCAUCAGAGGCAGAUUUGACCAGAAAACUGUAGGAACACCCAGCUGCUCCGAGACCCAACUGCUCUUGACAGAGAACUUGAGUCAGUGCUCAGUGCUGCCGGCAGGAUCGGUCAGACAAAACCAAGCAGGCUCGGCGGGCAACAAGGGAGCAGAACAGUCCUCUCUCUCCUCUUUCGCAGGCCGCAGGCACUGUUUCACAUGCUCCUGGCAUUCUCUGCAUCUGACAACGUGAGUAAUCCACGGUGCUGUUCCAGGCCCUGUUCCCAGGAGGGCCAGCUGACCAGGUCACAGAGAUCCAAGUCCACGGUGAGGCCUGACUGAUGUGGACGGAACCACAGAGGGGUGGGGCCUGGCACAAGGCUCUCCUUAGAGCUGACCACACAUUGUGAGAACAGGAAGUGAUGCCUCCCAAGUGAGGUCAGCGCUCGCAGGUGGGGUCAGCAUCCCAGGGAGAGCAGCUCUGCCAGGUGAUGCCCUUCCAUGACGUCACUGGCCCUUGCAGGAGGUGGGCUACAGGCAGGGUGUGAACUGGGUUGCGGCCACACUGCUCAUGUUUCUAGAGGAGGAAGAUGCGUUCUGGGCCCUGACCCAGCGGGUAACCAACCACAGGCAUGCGAUGCAGGGUAGGGGGCCUCACACAGCCAGCCUUGGAGGGGGGGGGCGGGGCACUCAACCAGGGCGAAUGCACCCCCCACCCCCAUCCGAUUCCUCAGUGUCCAGGACAAACAGGGCUGGCAGAGAGCAGCUCUCUACCAAGUCAGACCCUCUGUCCUCCCAUCACCAAGGGCACUGUAGCCAUCCCUGACUGCCCUUUGUGUGCUGUACCCACAGCCCUCAGAUUCCUUCCUGGCCAGGUGACACUUAUGUCCCUUUCACCCUCCCAUCUGUCACUUCACACAGUGGGCCACUGUCAGAUGGCAGUUCCCCAUCCUGAUUCUGUCAUUCUCAUUCUUGUACCCAAGGGAUGACCAUGCCCCACCCCCCAGUAGCCACCUGCAGCUCAGCCAAGCCUCGACUCCAGUGUCUUCCCUUCUCCUAACUGCCUUGGCCAGGUCAGCUCCUGGCUGACCCUACAGAGCCUCCCCUACUCCUGGUACUCAGGACUCCCUGAUGCUAUAUGCCAAAUUGCCCCACCUCCUGCAAUCAAGCUCUAAUUAUUUUUUUGUGGGGGUGCUGGGGGUUUCUCAGGAUUCUGUAAGACCAGUUGUCCCAAGGUGGAGAGACUCCGAUAUCACCAUGACCAUAUCCUAAAGUGUGUGUUCCCGAAACUAAAGAGGCACCUGGUAAAUAGAGGUGUCUCUCUCCCCCUGCCCAGGGGCCCUGUGUCCCGUGAGUGGGGACUGAAUAAAGGACCUGACCCUUCCUGGGGCUGACAAGAGACAAGUGCCAGCCAGGGCCGCUCUUGAGGUGUGAGCUCUGCAGAAGGCCAGGGGUCAGAACAACAAAGGAGUGUGCGCACGCAUCUACGCGCAGAGCGGCUUCAGCAGUGCUUCCUAGAUGGGGUGAGGCCGCCUGGGAGAGCUCACGUCCAAGGAAGCUCCUGGCUCAGUGUUCCCACUCCCCCAAGAUGGGGUGCAGCUACCCUCAUUCCUAGUAGCCACACAAGGGUCCCUGCUGGGCAGACUAGCAAAGCCCUGAUACAGAGGGGACGUCCCCAAGGCAGAGGGCAAGUCUCAGGCUCAGCAUCACAGGCAGAUCUGGCCAGGACCCAUCUUGGGAGGAGAAAGGGACUCCACAAGCCCCUGAGGUGGCCACUGCAGCCUGGAACUGAGCUGCUCUGAGUCGCUCCCAGAUACCAGCCCCGUGCUGAGGACUGACCCCCGGCCAUGCUGCAGCUGGUGUCUUGGUGAUUCUCGCGGAGCACAGAGCAGCCUCUGAGGCUCCCAGGCUAGUGGCUGUGCUGGGCAGGCCUCCUUGCCCCUUCUCUCUGGACCACUAGCACCCUUAUGUGGGCUGAACAGGAGCCCCCUUAGAUAUGGCCCCACAUCCCCACCGAGAUGAGUCCCUCGCUGCGCGAAGCUGCAGAACACGGUCAGAUGCAACCUGUCUGAGGUCUCUCCCCGUGCUGGGGGCCCUGGAGCCUGGCUCAGGCUUGGUCCCCCCACUCUGCUCUCCCCACAGACCCCUUUCCCUCUCACCCUGAGAUUUUGGGAUAUAUAAAUCCUCGAGGGUGAGCCAAUGCUCACAGCUGUGUCCUAUGCAGCUUCUGGGUCGUACCCUUUCUCCAGCUGAUGCCUCUGGUGCUCUUGCUUAGUGGCCGUGAGGGAAGUACAGAAGCAGAGAGAUGCUCGCUCUUCAGAGUUCAGAGCUGUCUUAGUCAACUACAGGUGUAGCAGCUAUUCAGUACAAAACAGGACAAAACGUGCACACACACACACACACAAACCCACUGCUCAUGCUGAAACUGGUGCUUGUGAAAUUUGUAAAGCACUUUUGGAAGGCACAGCUUCUUUCUCGUGAACGGUUUGCAAUAACCACAUGAAAAGGAAACACUAUAAACUGACCCUUAGGAACUUCGUUUACAAAGAUCACCCACUAGGAAACAGAGGAAAAGAAAAAUGUAAGUUGGGCCCAGCACUGUACAUAGUAGGCUGCACCCACAUGGGAGACCAGGAAGAAGCUCCUGGCUCCUGGCUCCUGGCUCCUGGCUCCUGGCUCCUGGCUUCAGAUCAGCACAGCUCUAGCUGUUGCGGCCAUUUACUGAGUGAACCAGAGGAAGGACGACCUUUCUCUCUGUCUCUGUCUGUAACUCUACCUCUCAAAUAAAUAAAUAAAAUCUUUUUUUUACAAAAAGAAAGACAGAUGUCCAUGUGUGAAGAAAUAGGGAACUAGGGACGGGUUCCCACUAAGCUGACUGGUCUUUUUUUUUCUGUAGAGGAAACAUAUUUCUGAAGACACUGUGCAUUUCUAAAAAGUGUCUCUGGCAUAAUUUUUGAAUCCGAACUCAUUCCUCACACUCCUCCACUUCAUCCACCCAGCACAGCCUGGGGCUGACACUCCUGUGCUGUACACCUUUGCCAUAAGGUGUUGCUGCCCAUUCUGCCAGAAAUGUUG